UACGGAGGAUCCAAGCGUUAUCCGGAUUUAUUGGGUUUAAAGGGUGCGUAGGCGGCCUGUUAAGUCAGAGGUGAAAACUUGCAGCUCAACUGUAAGCUUGCCUUUGAUACCGAUGGGCUUGAAUAAACUAGAGGUAGGCGGAAUGUGACAAGUAGCGGUGAAAUGCAUAGAUAUGUCACAGAACACCAAUUGCGAAGGCAGCUUACUAUGGUUUAAUUGACGCUGAGGCACGAAAGCGUGGGGAUCAAACAGG
rnacentral:rRNA from 1 species